CCUUCUCUUUUUUCCAAGCCACAUGAUUUUUUUUUUCGGAGUGAUGGGCUUGAGACCACAAGGCACAAGUUGUUCAUCUAUUCUUCUUCUCUUUUUCUCUCCGUUUCAUCUUCUUAUUCUUCUGCUUCGCUUUUCGUUUUUCUCUUUUUCCGUCAUUCUCUCUCCUUUUCUUCUCCUCUGCCAUCUUCCUCUUCCACAGGCAAGAAAACUCCUGAGGUGAUCAUUUUUCCUCUGUAGAUUUGGAUUAAAAUUUUUUCCUAUUUUUUGCACUUCUACAAGACCUCUUUUUCCCAUUUUACGCUUCCCCCUUAGAUAUAUCUCCAGCUUCUCAUUUUACUCUUCUGCAAGACCUCUCUUCGCUAUUUUUCCCUAUAUUUUUUCACUAUUUGUCCACUUCCCACCCCCGUAUUUCUCUUGGAGGCUGAAGAUGAACCUCAUCAUAUCAGAACAAAUGGCUUGCAGAUGUACUUGGUUUUAUUCUUUUUCUUCGGAGAGAAUGGAUCAAGUAUUUGCCAGAGAAAGGAGCAAGUAGGGAACUUUUUUCGUUAACUGUUAGGGUUAGGUGAAAAUAUUGAGUUUUUCUGAGAACCAUUUCAAAAUGGUAAAUUUCACAUAAUUGGAAGGU